rnacentral:lncRNA from 1 species
GUGAAUUCUGCAGAAGAAGACGUUCGUCAGCAUCCUUGUCUGGGAGUAGCUCAUCAUCCUCUUCAUCUCGUUCACGGUCACCACCAAAGAAGCCUCCCAAGAGGACAUCCAGCCCCCCUCGGAAAACUCGUAGGUUAUCUCCUUCAGCAAGUCCUCCAAGGCGAAGGCACAGGCCAUCACCUCCUGCAACUCCACCACCCAAAACUCGGCAUUCCCCUACACCCCAGCAGUCAAACCGUACAAGAAAAAGUCGUGUUUCUGUGUCUCCAGGGAGAACUUCAGUGACAAAACAUAAAGGUACUGAGAAAAGAGAAUCCCCUUCACCAGCACCGAAGCCUAGAAAAGUAGAGUUAUCUGAAUCGGAAGAAGAUAAAGGUGGCAAAAUGGCUGCAGCAGAUUCUGUGCAGCAGAGACGCCAAUACAGACGACAAAACCAGCAGUCUUCAUCUGACUCUGGCUCCUCCUCCUCCUCAGAAGAUGAACGACCCAAGAGAUCCCAUGUGAAGAAUGGUGAGGUUGGCAGGCGGCGGAGACAUUCCCCUUCCCGGAGUGCUUCUCCAUCACCACGAAAGCGCCAAAAAGAGACUUCCCCUCGGAUGCAGAUGGGAAAGCGAUGGCAAUCGCCAGUGACUAAAAGUGGUAGACGGAGGAGAAGUCCAUCCCCACCACCCACCAGAAGGCGACGGUCUCCUUCUCCCGCCCCUCCUCCUCGACGGCGCAGGACUCCCACACCACCACCACGACGAAGGACUCCUUCUCCUCCCCCACGUCGGCGCUCACCUUCUCCUAGAAGAUACUCUCCUCCAAUACAGAGGAGAUACUCUCCUUCUCCACCUCCAAAGAGAAGAACGGCUUCACCUCCUCCCCCUCCUAAACGAAGAGCAUCACCAUCUCCACCACCAAAGCGGCGGGUCUCCCAUUCUCCACCUCCCAAACAAAGAAGCUCCCCAGUCACCAAGAGACGUUCACCUUCAUUAUCAUCCAAGCAUAGGAAAGGGUCUUCCCCAAGCCGCUCUACCAGGGAGGCCCGAUCACCACAACCAAACAAACGGCAUUCGCCCUCACCACGGCCUCGAGCUCCUCAGACCUCCUCAAGUCCUCCACCCGUUCGAAGAGGAGCGUCGUCAUCACCCCAAAGAAGGCAGUCCCCGUCUCCAAGUACUAGGCCCAUUAGGAGAGUCUCCAGGACUCCGGAACCUAAAAAGAUAAAAAAGGCUGCUUCCCCAAGCCCACAGUCUGUAAGGAGGGUCUCAUCCUCCCGAUCUGUCUCCGGGUCUCCUGAGCCAGCAGCUAAAAAGCCCCCAGCACCUCCAUCCCCCGUCCAGUCUCAGUCACCGUCUACAAACUGGUCACCAGCUGUACCGGUCAAAAAGGCCAAAAGCCCAACACCGAGCCCAUCACCGCCA